UCCUACGGGAGGCAGCAGUGGGGAAUCUUGGACAAUGGGCGAAAGCCUGAUCCAGCCAUGCCGCGUGAGUGAUGAAGGCCCUAGGGUCGUAAAGCUCUUUCGCCAGGGAUGAUAAUGACAGUACCUGGUAGAGAAACCCCGGCUAACUCCGUGCCAGCAGCCGCGGUAAUACGGAGGGGGUUAGCGUUGUUCGGAAUUACUGGGCGUAAAGCGCACGUAGGCGGAUUAUUAAGUCAGGGGUGAAAUCCCGGGGCUCAACCCCGGAACUGCCCUUGAUACUGGUAAUCUUGAGUUCGAGAGAGGUGAGUGGAAUUCCGAGUGUAGAGGUGAAAUUCGUAGAUAUUCGGAGGAACACCAGUGGCGAAGGCGGCUCACUGGCUCGAUACUGACGCUGAGGUGCGAAAGUGUGGGGAGCAAACAGGAUUAGAUACCCUGGUAGUCCACACCGUAAACGAUGAAUGCCAGACGUCGGCAGGCAUGCCUGUCGGUGUCACACCUAACGGAUUAAGCAUUCCGCCUGGGGAGUACGGUCGCAAGAUUAAAACUCAAAUGAAUUGACGG
rnacentral:rRNA from 1 species